rnacentral:ncRNA from 1 species
UGCCAAGGAUGUUUUCAUUAAUCAAGAACGACAGUAGGGGGUUUGAAGACGAUUAGAUACCGUCGUAAUCUCUAUCAUAAACUAUGCCGACUAGAGAUAGGGAAAUGACAAUUAUAAGGGUUCCGCAUUGCUUUGUGCAACUGCUACGCGUAUUUGC